GGUUGGGGAUACACUUAAUGAGGUAGCAGGUAUCCCUAUAGGUGGAGAUAUACUCAAUGGGGGAUCAGGUCUCCCCAUAGGUGGAGAUCCACUCAGUAGGAGAGCAGGCGUCCCUAUAGGAGGAGAUAUACUUGAUGGAAAAGUAAGUGUCUCUAUAGGUGGAGACACACUCAGUGAGGUAGCAGGUGUCCCUAUAGGUGGAGAUAUACUCAAUGGGGGAUCAGGUCUCCCCAUAGGUGGAGAUCCACUCAGUGGGGGAGCAGGCAUCCCUAUCAUUGGAGAUCCUCUCAGAGGGUUAGAGAGUCUCCCUAUAGGAGGAGAUAUACUCGAUGGAGGAGUAGGUGUUCCUAUAGUUGGAGAUGUACUCAGAAAGGUAAGUGUCCCUUUAGGUGAAAGUCUGAUGAAUGUGGAAGUAGGUGUCCCCUUAGGUGGAGAUCCUCUCGGUG